UUCCUGUCACAACGGCUUCCUGGCGUGACUAGCGACAUUUAAUGGAGCA
rfam:Donghicola sp. KarMa genome assembly, contig: KarMA_contig41